UACGUAGGGUGCAAGCGUUAAUCGGAAUUACUGGGCGUAAAGCGUGCGCAGGCGGUUUUGUAAGUCUGACGUGAAAUCCCCGGGCUCAACCUGGGAAUUGCGUUGGAGACUGCAAGGCUAGAAUCUGGCAGAGGGGGGUAGAAUUCCACAUGUAGCAGUGAAAUGCGUAGAGAUGUGGAGGAACACCGAUGGCGAAGGCAGCCCCCUGGGUCAAGAUUGACGCUCAUGCACGAAAGCGUGGGGAGCAAACAGG
rnacentral:rRNA from 1 species